UACGGGGGGGGCAAGCGUUGUUCGGAAUUACUGGGCGUAAAGGGCUCGUAGGUGGCCAACUAAGUCAGACGUGAAAUCCCUCGGCUUAACCGGGGAACUGCGUCUGAUACUGGAUGGCUUGAGUGUGGGAGAGGGAUGCGGAAUUCCAGGUGUAGCGGUGAAAUGCGUAGAUAUCUGGAGGAACACCGGUGGCGAAAGCGGCUUCCUGGUCCAGCACCGACGUUCAGGCACGAAAGCGUGAGGAGCAAACAGG
rnacentral:rRNA from 1 species